CUCUCUCUUCCAGCCCUCCUCCGAUUCGUUCAUUGAGCUCCGGUGCCCAACAACGGCCGGCGACGACUUCGGUUCUCCUUCUCCCCCUCCCCAUCCCCCCUCCCCCGCCUUUCUCUCGUAAUGAGGCAUGGCUGCAUUAUGGUUCUGGGAUUUGAGACCGGGGGUUAGGGUUCUUGGAUUUUUUGGCCGGAUGGCCGGUGAAGAGGCUGUGCGCAGCUGCUCCAAGAUCUACAUGGAGGCCUACACCUCCCUCCUCUCCCAUUGCCAUGGCCUAGACUCGGCGGCGCUCAGCAACCUGGAGAAGCUGCAUGGCAAGGUGGCCGACUAGGAGAUGGUGGAGAAGCGUGUUAACCAGGUGCUGCUCGAGGCUGACGACGUGGACGUCUGCUUCCUCAUGAAUAUUUGAACGCGGAGGAAAGCAGCGUCAGGGAAGCCCUAGCAAGGAAUAGCCGUUGUUGUCUUCCCUUUCAGGUAGCAGUAGUUUGCUUUUGUUUCUCUCACCGCCGAUAGAUCGUUGAUGUUCAUAUCAUAAUUGUAAAUUAGGCAAAAUAAUGUAACUCAUUAGGCAAUAAUAUGCUAAUGAAUUAAGCAAAACAAUAUACUUUAGUAGGCUUCUAGAUUAGGCAAAGUUAUAUACUUCAUUAGGCAAUUAAAUACUGUCCAUCAAGCAGUUUAAAAAUGUUUAGUAAGCAUUUUAAUCUCCCUUUUAUUAGUUGUCUUCAUUAGUGGAUCACUUAAAAACUAAAAAACUGUAAUGUUUAGCAAGCAGCUAGCUUCAUUCGCGGGUCGGUACAGGGCACACGUGGACAUGGCCAAGGCCGCGCUCCUGCUCCUCUCCCUGCUGCCCUUCUCCUCCCUCGCCCAGAACCAGGACUUCUGCUGUUCUGCAUCGCCGACCUCGCCGUCUGGCUGCGUGUCGUCGGAGGUUUUGUCAGCAAGGUCACCGAUUCACCGUGCUGGACGAGUCGCAGGUCAGGAAGCUCAAGGCACUGUGUUCGGCGGGAGCGGCUAAUGAACCACUUAUCGAUCUCCAUCGGUCUUUUGGCAUGGCAGGGUUGUUGAGCUUUGAAUUGGUCGUGGUUGUGGUGUUAGAAUAAUUUGUACGCGCGUGGGCACAUGUGCUUGCUUAAUUCUCAGAAAUUGUAACGUCACGUAUCAUUUGAGAUACUUCAAUAUGUUUCUUCUUUUUGACGAA